AUACGGAAGGUCCGGGCGUUAUCCGGAUUUAUUGGGUUUAAAGGGAGCGCAGGCGGAGAUGCAAGCGUGACGUCAAAUUUCGGGGCUCAACCCCGUCUCGCGUCGCGAACUGCGUCCCUUGGUUGCGGGAAGGGGAGGCGGAACUCGUGGAGUAGCGGUGAAAUGCAUAGAUAUCACGAAGAACUCCGAUCGCGAAGGCAGCCUUCCGGCCCGUCAACGACGCUCAUGCUCGAAGGUGCGGGUAUCAAACAGGAUUAGAUACCCUGGUAGUCCGCACAGUAAACGAUGGACACCCGCGGUUUGGCCUAUAUGGCUGAGCCGCCAAGCGAAAGCGUUAAGUGUCCCACCUGGGGAGUACGCCGGCAACGGUGAAACUCAAAUGAAUUGACGGGG
rnacentral:rRNA from 1 species